rnacentral:rRNA from 1 species
GCCUACGGGUGGCUGCAGUCGAGGAUCUUCGGCAAUGGGCGCAAGCCUGACCGAGCGACGCCGCGUGUGGGAUGAAGGCCUUCGGGUUGUAAACCACUGUCGGAGGGGAUGAAAUGCCCUGGGGUUCUCCCCAGGGCUUGACAUAGCCUCAAAGGAAGUACGGGCUAAGUUCGUGCCAGCAGCCGCGGUAAGACGAACCGUACGAACGUUAUUCGGAAUCACUGGGCUUAAAGGGUGCGUAGGCGGCGCGGAAAGUUGGGUGUGAAAGCCCUCGGCUCAACCGAGGAAUUGCGCCCAAUACUACCGUGCUUGAGUGAGAUAGAGGUGAGCGGAACUUAGGGUGGAGCGGUGAAAUGCGUUGAUAUCCUAAGGAACACCGGUGGCGAAAGCGGCUCACUGGAUCUUUUCUGACGCUGAGGCACGAAAGCUAGGGGAGCAAACGGGAUUAGAUACCCCGGUAGUCCAG